rnacentral:rRNA from 1 species
GUGGCGAACUGGUGAGUAACACGUGGGGAAUCUGCCCAGAAGCAGGGGAUAACACUUGGAAACAGGUGCUAAUACCGUAUAACAACAAAAUCCGCAUGGAUUUUGUUUGAAAGGUGGCUUCGGCUAUCACUUCUGGAUGAUCCCGCGGCGUAUUAGUUAGUUGGUGAGGUAAAGGCCCACCAAGACGAUGAUACGUAGCCGACCUGAGAGGGUAAUCGGCCACAUUGGGACUGAGACACGGCCCAAACUCCUACGGGAGGCAGCAGUAGGGAAUCUUCCACAAUGGACGAAAGUCUGAUGGAGCAAUGCCGCGUGAGUGAAGAAGGGUUUCGGCUCGUAAAACUCUGUUGUUAAAGAAGAACACCUUUGAGAGUAACUGUUCAAGGGUUGACGGUAUUUAACCAGAAAGCCACGGCUAACUACGUGCCAGCAGCCGCGGUAAUACGUAGGUGGCAAGCGUUGUCCGGAUUUAUUGGGCGUAAAGCGAGCGCAGGCGGUUUUUUAAGUCUGAUGUGAAAGCCUUCGGCUUAACCGGAGAAGUGCAUCGGAAACUGGGAGACUUGAGUGCAGAAGAGGACAGUGGAACUCCAUGUGUAGCGGUGGAAUGCGUAGAUAUAUGGAAGAACACCAGUGGCGAAGGCGGCUGUCUAGUCUGUAACUGACGCUGAGGCUCGAAAGCAUGGGUAGCGAACAGGAUUAGAUACCCUGGUAGUCCAUGCCGUAAACGAUGAGUGCUAAGUGUUGGAGGGUUUCCGCCCUUCAGUGCUGCAGCUAACGCAUUAAGCACUCCGCCUGGGGAGUACGACCGCAAGGUUGAAACUCAAAGGAAUUGACGGGGGCCCGCACAAGCGGUGGAGCAUGUGGUUUAAUUCGAAGCUACGCGAAGAACCUUACCAGGUCUUGACAUCUUBUGCCAAUCUUAGAGAUAAGACGUUCCCUUCGGGGACAGAAUGACAGGUGGUGCAUGGUUGUCGUCAGCUCGUGUCGUGAGAUGUUGGGUUAAGUCCCGCAACGAGCGCAACCCUUAUUAUCAGUUGCCAGCAUUCAGUUGGGCACUCUGGUGAGACUGCCGGUGACAAACCGGAGGAAGGUGGGGAUGACGUCAAAUCAUCAUGCCCCUUAUGACCUGGGCUACACACGUGCUACAAUGGACGGUACAACGAGUUGCGAAGUCGUGAGGCUAAGCUAAUCUCUUAAAGCCGUUCUCAGUUCGGAUUGUAGGCUGCAACUCGCCUACAUGAAGUUGGAAUCGCUAGUAAUCGC